GCCCCUCAUAGUAUAGUGGCUAUGACACUCGGCUUUAAAUCGAGUGGACUCGGAUUCGAAUCCCGAUUAAGGCA